AUUGAACGCUGGCGGCAGGCCUAACACAUGCAAGUCGAGCGAGCGGCGGACGGGUGAGUAAUGUCUGGGAAACUGCCUGAUGGAGGGGGAUAACUACUGGAAACGGUAGCUAAUACCGCAUACCAUCAGAUGUGCCCAGUUGGGAUGAGCUAGUAGGUGGGGUAAUGGCUCACCUAGGCGACGAUCCCUAGCUGGUCUGAGAGGAUGACCAGCAACACUGGAACGGAGAAACGGUCCAGACUCCGACGGAAGGCAGAAGUGGGGAAUCUUGCACAAUGGGCGAAAGCGUGAUGCAGCCAUGCGGCGGGUGUGAAGAAGGCCUUCGGGUUGUAAAGCACUUUCGGCGGGGAGGCGUUACCCGCAGAAGAAGCAACGGCUAACUCCGUGCCAGCAGCCGCGGUAAUAC
rnacentral:rRNA from 1 species